AUGGCUCAGAACGAACGCUGGUGGCGUGUCUUACACAUGCAAGUCGAGCGAGGCAGCAAUGCCGAGCGGCGAACGGGUGAGUAACGCGUAAGCAAUCUGCCCCAUAUCAGGAAAUACCCGUGCCAACGCGCGGUUAAUGUCCAGGAGAGUGGCCCUCUGCAUGGAGGGUUGACUAGAGAUUUAUCGGUAUGGGAUGAGCUUGCGUCCGAUUAGCUAGUUGGCGGGGCAACGGCCCACCAAGGCGACGAUCGGUAGCCGGCCUGAGAGGGUGAUCGGCCACAUUGGGACUGAGAUACGGCCCAGACUCCUACGGGAGGCAGCAGUAGGGAAUAUUGCACAAUGGGGGAAACCCUGAUGCAGCAACGCCACGUGUGGGAAGAAGCAUUUCGGUGUGUAAACCACUGUCAUGAGGGAAUAAGGCCCGCCUCCGGACGGGAUUGAAUGUACCUUGAGAGGAAGCACCGGCAAACUUCGUGCCAGCAGCCGC
rnacentral:rRNA from 1 species